GAGGGUAUAGCUCAAGUGGCAGAGCACAUGCUUAGCAUGCAUCAGGUCCUGGGUUCAAUUCCCAGUACCUUCU
rnacentral:tRNA from 1 species